GAGUUUGAUCAUGGCUCAGAUUGAACGCUGGCGGCAGCCCUUAUACAUGCAAGUCGAACGAGAAAGUUUCUUCGGAAGCGAGUAAAGUGGCGGACGGGUGAGUAACGCGUAGGAAUCUACCUUUCAGUGGGGGAUAGCUCGAGGAAACUCGAAUUAAUACCGCAUACACCCUUAGGGGGAAAGGGGGCCUCUCCUUGGAAGCUCUCGCUGUUAGAUGAGCCUGCGUGAGAUUAGUUUGUUGGUAAGGUAAUGGCUUACCAAGACUACGAUCUCUAGCUGGUCUGAGAGGACGAUCAGCCACACUGGGACUGAGACACGGCCCAGACUCCUACGGGAGGCAGCAGUAGGGAAUAUUGAACAAUGGGGGAAACCCUGAUCCAGGCAUGCCGCGUGUGUGAAGAAGGCCUUAGGGUUGUAAAGCACUUUAAGUGAGGAAGAAAAGAUUUAAGUUAAUAUCCUAAAUCCCUGACAUUACUCACAGAAUAAGGACCGGCUAACUCCGUGCCAGCAGCCGCGGUAAUACGGAGGGUCCAAGCGUUAAUCGGAAUUACUGGGCGUAAAGCGCGCGUAGAUGGUCUGUUUAGUUGGGUGUGAAAUCCCUGGGCUCAACCUAGGAACUGCAUUCAAAACUUACAGACUAGAGUACGAAAGAGGAGAGCAGAAUUCAUUGUGUAGCGGUGAAAUGCGUAGAUAUCAUGAGGAAUACCAGUGGCGAAGGCGGCUCUCUGGUUCGAGACUGACAUUGAGGUGCGAAAGCGUGGGUAGCAAACAGGAUUAGAUACCCUGGUAGUCCACGCCGUAAACGAUGAGAACUAGCCGUUGGAUCUUUAGAUUCAGUGGCGCAGCUAACGCAUUAAGUUCUCCGCCUGGGGAGUACGGCCGCAAGGCUAAAACUCAAAUGAAUUGACGGGGGCCCGCACAAGCGGUGGAGCAUGUGGUUUAAUUCGAUGCAACGCGAAAAACCUUACCAACCCUUGACAUCCAGUGGAGGUUCUAGAGAUAGAACUGUGCCUUCGGGAACACUGUGACAGGUGUUGCAUGGCUGUCGUCAGCUCGUGUCGUGAGAUGUAUGGUUAAGUCCAGUAACGAGCGCAACCCUUAUCCUUAUUUGCCAGCACUUCGGGUGGGAACUAUAGGGAGACUGCCGUGAAUAACACGGAGGAAGGUGGGGACGACGUCAAGUCAUCAUGGCCCUUACGGGUUGGGCUACACACGUGCUACAAUGGGAGAUACAGAUGGUUGCGAAAGCGCGAGCUGGAGCUAAUCCCACAAAGUCUUCCUCAGUCCGGAUUGGAGUCUGCAACUCGACUCCAUGAAGUAGGAAUCGCUAGUAAUCGUGAAUCAGAAUGUCACGGUGAAUACGUUCUCGGGCCUUGUACACACCGCCCGUCACGUCAUGGGAGUGUGUUGUACCAGAAGUGGUUUGCCUAACCUUCGGGAGGGCGGCCCCCACGGUAUGAUACGCGACUGGGACGAAGUCGUAACAAGGUAACC
rnacentral:rRNA from 1 species